rnacentral:rRNA from 1 species
UACGAAGGGGGCUAGCGUUGCUCGGAAUCACUGGGCGUAAAGGGUGCGUAGGCGGGUUUUUAAGUCAGAGGUGAAAUCCUGGAGCUCAACUCCAGAACUGCCUUUGAUACUGAAAGUCUUGAGUAUGGGAGAGGUGAGUGGAACUGCGAGUGUAGAGGUGAAAUUCGUAGAUAUUCGCAAGAACACCAGUGGCGAAGGCGGCUUACUGGCCCAUUACUGACGCUGAGGCACGAAAGCGUGGGGAGCAAACAGG